GUGGUUUGAGAGAAGUGUUCAUUACAGGCAAUGGCUCCUGGCUUCUGAUAUCUGGACACUGAAGGGGCUGCUGCAUCCUGCGAAGGAAGAUACUGUCAUUGAGUGGCCAGGAGCCCACUGCCACUGCAAUGGGUGUGCCAAGUCCCAUCUAAGCAUUAUCGCUUAGAAAAACACUUCUGAGUAGAGCAAGAGGCGAACGCACAGGCAUGGGGGGAACUGUUGCCCCAAAAAAACAGCCCAGGGAGCCAGCGUCACCAGCUCGGCAGGAGGCACCGGGCACCACAGCUCCAGUGGCACCACUGCGCAGAUGAUGUGGCACAACACACUCAGAAUACUAAAAGAAGGUAACAUUCUAAUCCCUUUUCUGGCAGCAGACCUGUCAUCACUCUUCCAGAGCACCAUAAACCAUCAGGUUCACGCACUAAGACGUAUCUCCCCC